ACCCGCACAAGCGGUGGAUGAUGUGGUUUAAUUCGAUGCAACGCGAAAAACCUUACCCACCUUUGACAUGUACGGAAUCCUCUAGAGAUAGAGGAGUGCUCGAAAGAGAGCCGUAACACAGGUGCUGCAUGGCUGUCGUCAGCUCGUGUCGUGAGAUGUUGGGUUAAGUCCCGCAACGAGCACAACCCUUGUCAUUAGUUGCUACGAAAGGGCACUCUAAUGAGACUGCCGGUGACAAACCGGAGGAAGGUGGGGAUGACGUCAAGUCCUCAUGGCCCUUAUGGGUAGGGCUUCACACGUAAUACAAUGGUCGGUACAGAGGGUUGCCAACCCGCGAGGGGGAGCCAAUCCCAGAAAACCGAUCGUAGUCCGGAUUGUUCUCUGCAACUCGAGAGCAUGAAGUCGGAAUCGCUAGUAAUCGCAGGUCAGCAUACUGCGGUGAAUACGUUCCCGGGUCUU
rnacentral:rRNA from 1 species